rnacentral:rRNA from 1 species
GACGAACGCUGGCGGCGUGCUUAACACAUGCAAGUCGAACUGAAAGGCGCUGAGUUUGUGGGGUGCUCGAGUGGCGAACGGGUGAGUAAAACGUGAGUAACAUGCACUUGACUUUGGGAUAACAUCAGGAAAAAGGGGCUAAUAUAGGAGAGGAGAUACUGAAGCGUGGGGGGGGAUGGAAAGAGACGGCGGUGGGGGAUGGAAUAGCGGCUUAUGAGCUGGUUGGUGGGGUAGUGGCGUACAAAGGCUUUGACGGGUAGCCGGCCUGGGAGGGUGACCGGCCACAUUGGGACUGAGAUACGGCCCAGACUCCAACGUGAGGCAGCAGUGGGGAAUAUUACACAGUGGGCGGAAGCCUGAUGCAGCAACGCCGCGUGCGGGAUGACCGCCUUCGGGUUAUAAACCGCUUUCGCCUGUGACGAAGCGUGAUUGACGGUACUGGGUAAAGAAGCACCGGCUAACUACGUG